GGUUCUUUUGUUUUUGAUAUGUUCAGUUAUAAGCUGUAUGUAUGUAAGUAGUAUAUUUAUUUUUAGUAUUUUUUUAAUUAUUUUACGGCUGUAUUUGUUAGUCUCCAAAAUAACGUUGCAUACUUAGCUUUAUAUAACUUAAGUCGAACAUGUCUAUAAAUUUAAUCUGAUGAACAAUUUCUGUGUGCACUUGAGGGAAACUGACUUUGGCAUUUUAUGUCAGGAUCUUUCAUACAAAUUAAGUCUUAAAUGUCCAAAAGCUUGUUGAGAUCACUGUAUUUUGGGGUUACAUUGUGUUUUGUUUUCUCAGUAAGCCUAAGGUGCAAAAGUAGGCCACAUUCUUGUAUAACACAGCAUAUUAAAUUGCUUUAUUGUAGCUACUAAAAUCAGAAAUCCAAUCUGAAUGUAAAAGGACUGAGUCAUACUUGUAUAACGUUUUUAAGUUUCUUGAGGGCUUCCUUGUAGCUCAAUGGAACUUUGUGAAAACUGUAUCCUGAGAACCUGAGCACGGAAUGUUAACCGUAACAGGAAAUUCCGAGAUUGGUAUUUACUGAGUUUGUGUGCUAGUGAACUCUGAGAAUCAAAACUGUGGAAAUGGGCCAAAGCACCUUCCAGAUUGGAUGUUUAUUCCACAUACUUUGCUUCUUUUCUAAUACACGGUGUUUUUGUAAACGCUUGACGUUACUAAUAACCCAUGUAUGAAAAACAUAACCCUGGCGAAUGUCUCGACACUUUCCGUACAUACGCAGGCAGUUCCUGGGAAUAAGGGUUGCAUGUCAAGUGAGACGAUCCAGGUGUGCCAAUAAUGCGCUAUUGUGUUUUACCAGAGCAAGGUGAGUAUGUUAAAUGCGACACACAUGUACAUGUUGAAGGUCUGGAUGGGGUCAUUAGCGUCACGCUGGUAACAAGAUCCUCCACGUGUGCUCACUUGGUUGAUUGGAUUCGAGGGGACCCUUUCACGGACUUGAGCGUAUUGACAGCUGGCUGGGAAAACUUGGCACGCUCCCGCGGCGAGAAUUGCUCGGAACGGGUAUUGAUUCAAAUCAGCGUGUUGACUAAUCGGACCUCGAUCUGCUCGUGAAGAGCUCCAGACGUGAGCGACCCGAGCUGGAUUUUGUGUAUUUAAUCAGCUGGGCCUGGGCCGGGAAACAUGGGCUCUCCACCGAGUAAUGCCGCCCUGGGGAUAUUGCGGUGCACUGACGGACACUUCUGCGCUCCACCAGGACCGUCAGCAAAGGGAUUUGCCUGGAUUUUGAUGGGUUUUCCCAAACUGGCGCAAAUGAUAAUAAACAUCACGUCCUGACGUGCUCCAUGGGAAGUAUCGUUUUGAAAAGGUUUGGACAAGUCACAGUAUCUUCUGCUGAGAACAUUCCCGCGCAAGUCCAGCAGGUGGCAAACUCUUCCCAUGACAUUCCCAAGCCUCCCAAAGGAAACGUUUGCAAACUUGGUCCACUUUGAAGAGCUUGAGUUUCACCAUUAUAGUCUUACAUUGUUUUGCAGUUCAUCAAGGUUAAAUAAAGAAUGUUUUUUAUGUAAA